rnacentral:rRNA from 1 species
GACGAACGCUGGCGGCGUGCUUAACACAUGCAAGUCGAGCGGUAAGGCCCUUUCGGGGGUACACGAGCGGCGAACGGGUGAGUAACACGUGGGUGACCUGCCCUCAGCUCUGGGAUAAGCCUGGGAAACCGGGUCUAAUACUGGAUAUGACUCCAUGACGCAUGUUGUGGGGUGGAAAGCCUUGUGCGGCUGAGGAUGGGCCCGCGGCCUAUCAGCUUGUUGGGGGGUGAUGGCCUACCAAGGCGACGACGGGUAGCCGGCCUGAGAGGGCGACCGGCCACACUGGGACUGAGACACGGCCCAGACUCCUACGGGAGGCAGCAGUGGGGAAUCUUGCGCAAUGGGCGAAAGCCUGACGCAGCGACGCCGCGUGAGGGAUGACGG